UACGUAGGUGGCAAGCGUUGUCCGGAUUUAUUGGGCGUAAAGCGAGCGCAGGCGGUUCCUUAAGUCUGAUGUGAAAGCCCAUGGCUCAACCGUGGAAGGUCAUUGGAAACUGGGGAACUUGAGUGCAGAAGAGGAGAGUGGAAUUCCAUGUGUAGCGGUGAAAUGCGUAGAUAUAUGGAGGAACACCAGUGGCGAAGGCGACUCUCUGGUCUGUAACUGACACUGAGGCACGAAAGCGUGGGGAGCAAACAGGAUUAGA
rnacentral:rRNA from 1 species